GUGGCUAUAGCUCAGCUUGGUUAGAGCGUCUGGUUGUGGCCCAGAAGGCCGAGGGUUCAAAUCCCUCUAGCCACCCCA
rnacentral:tRNA from 1 species